GAUGAAGAACGCAGCGAAAUGCGAUACGUAGUGUGAAUUGCAGAAUUCAGUGAAUCAUCGAAUCUUUGAACGCACAUUGCGCCCCCUGGUAUUCCGGGGGGCAUGCCUGUCCGAGCGUCAUUACAACCCUCAAGCUCAGCUUGGUGUUGGGCCCCGCCGCCCCGGCGGGCCCUAAAGUCAGUGGCGGUGCCGUCCGGCUCCGAGCGUAGUAAUUCUUCUCGCUCUGGAGGUCCGGUCGUGUGCUCGCCAGCAACCCCCAAUUUUUUUCAGGUUGACCUCGGAUCAGGUAGGGAUACCCGCUGAACUUAAGCAUAUCAAUAAGCGGAGGA
rnacentral:misc_RNA from 1 species